rnacentral:lncRNA from 1 species
GUCUGUGCCCGAGUCUCCUGCUGGAUCCCGCCACAGAGUCCCGGCCGAACUGGGGUUCCUUACCCGGGAAUCUCGCUGGGGCCUCCAAAAUGUAAGACCGUGGGCCUUACCAAACGCUCCGAGGAGCUGGCUACAGCGGCAAUCACCCGGGGAGGAACACACCGGACAAGUGGGAAGAAAAAAACAGACCUUUAUUAGUCUGGCCAGACGGCACUCCCAAAGCAAGAAACCCAAGGAGCACUAUAUGACUGUUUCCUGCAGAGUUGUUUAAGGCUACGGUGGCAGUAACAUGAGGAGAGAAAAAGACUGCAUCUGAUUUUCCAGUGAUUGCCUUGUGCACAGGAAAAUGGGAGAUAAUCAUUGGGAAAACAUGGCAGACGCCAAGCUGUGAGUUGGCUGGUGGACAAAUCUGCAUGACAAGCUACCAAAGAGGCCCCCAGCCAACAGCCAUCUGGGAUCUGAGGACCUCAGUCCACCGGCCUUGGAGGACCCAUGGGUGAACCUGACAGCAG